AGGACGAACGCUGGCGGCGUGCCUAAUGCAUGCAAGUCGAGCGACGCAUACUGGAGGGGUAACCCACCGGUAUGACGGAGCGGCGAACGGGUGAGUAACACGUGAGCAACCUGCCCCGAAGACCGGGAUAGCCCAGGGAAACUUGGAUUAAUACCGGAUAUCCUCGGACGUCUUCCUGGACGACUGAGGAAAGCUUUUGCGCUUCGGGAUGGGCUCGCGGCCUAUCAGCUUGUUGGUGGGGUAACGGCCUACCAAGGCAUCGACGGGUAGCUGGUCUGAGAGGACGAUCAGCCACACUGGGACUGAGACACGGCCCAGACUCCGUACGGGAGCAGCAGCAGGGAAUCGUUGCGCAAGUGGGACGAAAGCCUAGACGCAGCAACGCCGCGGUGGGGAUGGACGGCCGUUCGGUUCGUAAACCCGUUUCGAGGAGGAUGUAAAUUCGACUAGUACCUUCGAAGUAAGAACGGCCCCGGACCAACCGUACGU
rnacentral:rRNA from 1 species